UCCCUUCUUAGCCGUGGCUGCCUCAGAACCUCGAGGAUCGACAUGGACGCUCUCGAGGACUACGUUUGGCCGCGGGCAACCUCGGAGCUUAUACUCCUCCCAGUGACGGGUCUGGAGUGCGUGGGGGACCGGCUGUUGGCGGCUUGCCUGAUUGGAUACGCCUGGAAGGAGCUGACCAUAGUGGCAGGUGCUGUUUCCAACCAGCUCUUGGUCUGGUACCCAGCAACUGCCUUAGCAGACAACAAACCUGUAGCACCUGACCGACGAAUCAGUGGGCAUGUGGGCAUCAUCUUCAGCAUGUCAUACCUGGAAAGCAAGGGAUUGCUGGCUACAGCUUCAGAAGACCGAAGCGUUCGUAUCUGGAAGGUGGGCGACCUGCGAGUGCCUGGGGGUCGGGUGCAGAAUAUUGGGCACUGCUUUGGGCACAGCGCCCGUGUGUGGCAGGUCAAGCUUCUAGAGAAUUACCUUAUCAGUGCAGGAGAGGAUUGUGUCUGCUUGGUGUGGAGCCAUGAAGGUGAGAUCCUCCAGGCCUUUCGGGGACACCAGGGACGUGGGAUCCGGGCCAUAGCUGCCCAUGAGAGGCAGGCCUGGGUGAUCACUGGGGGUGAUGACUCAGGCAUUCGGCUGUGGCACUUGGUAGGGCGUGGGUACCGGGGAUUGGGGGUCUCGGCUCUCUGCUUCAAGUCCCGUAGUAGGCCAGGUACACUCAAGGCUGUGACUCUGGCUGGCUCUUGGCGACUGCUGGCAGUGACUGAUACAGGGGCCCUGUAUCUCUAUGACGUCGAGGUCAAGUGCUGGGAGCAGCUGCUAGAGGAUAAACAUUUCCAGUCCUACUGCCUGCUGGAGGCAGCUCCUGGUCCCGAGGGCUUCGGAUUGUGUGCUAUGGCCAAUGGGGAAGGUCGUGUCAAGGUUGUCCCCAUCAACACUCCAACUGCUGCUGUGGACCAGACCCUGUUUCCUGGGAAGGUGCACAGCUUGAGCUGGGCCCUGCGUGGUUAUGAGGAGCUCCUGUUGCUGGCAUCGGGCCCUGGCGGGGUGACUUCCUGGUGUGUGGUGACCGCCGGGGCUCUGUGCUGCUAUUCCCCUCCAGACCAGGGCGUGAUGGCGCCUACUACCAGCUGUUUGUACGAGACGGCCAGCUCCAGCCAGUCCUAA
rnacentral:sRNA from 1 species